UACAGAGGUCUCAAGCGUUGUUCGGAAUCACUGGGCGUAAAGGGUGCGUAGGCCGCACGGUAAGUCAGAGGUGAAAUCCCGGAGCUCAACUCCGGAAUGGCCUCCGAUACUGCCGUGCUCGAGGACUGGAGAGGAGUCUGGAAUUCACAGUGGAGCAGUGAAAUGCGUGGAUAUUGUGAGGAACACUAGUGGCGAAGGCGAGACUCUGGACAGUUCCUGACGCUGAGGCACGAAGGCCAGGGGAGCAAACAGG
rnacentral:rRNA from 1 species